rnacentral:lncRNA from 1 species
ACAGACCUAAAAACAGACCUAAAAACAAACAUAAAAACAGAUAUAAAAACAGACAUAAAAACAGACCUAAAAACAGAUUUAAAAACAGACCUAAAAACAGACCUAAACAAUGAGUUAACCAACGACAUAACUAAAGACAUAAAUAAAGACCUAACUAAGGACCUAAGUACCGACGUAAAUAAAAACCCAACCAUGGACCCAAACAACGAUAUAAACAAUGACAUAAAAAACAACCUAAAUAAAGACCUAAGCAACGACCUAACCAACAGUAUAACUAACGGUUUAACCACAAAUGAUACGUUUAAUAGUAUUGAAGAUAUUUUAACUGAAACGAAUGAUUUCGAUCGUGGUUCAACAAAAAUGUAUAAUGAUAAGAACAUAUUAAUUGGUGAUGGAAUAUAUGGUAGAAAUGAAACUGAUGAAAGUAAUGAAUUAAUAAUAAAAAAAAAUAUAGGAGAAGAACAAAAUGAAAUAUCACCAGAAUGUAAUCAGUUCGAAAAUCAGAAAAAAACAGAAACGAAUGAAAUUAAUAUGCAAACUAAAAUUAGUAUAACCGAAGAACAAAAAGAUGACGAAGAUGAAGAAGAAACAGGAGUAUUAGCAGAAAAAGGAGAAGAAGAAAAAAAAGGAGAAGAAGAAAAAAAAGGAGAAGAAGAAAAAAAGGAUGAAGAAAAAAAGGAUGAAGAAAAAGAAGAAGAAAAUAAUGAACGUAGUAAUAUUGAGGUAGAAACACAUAAUAGGCCUGAUAUGGUAUAUGAAUCUGAAGAUACUUGUUAUAAUUCAAAGGACGGUGAAAUUAAAAAAAGAAGAAUUGAGGAAAAUAAUAAUAUGGUAGAUAGUAAUACAAGAGGUGGAAAUAGAAGAGGAGGGAAUAGAAGAGGAGGUAAUAGAAGAGGUAAUGUAGCAAAAGUUGGUAAUACGAUAGAUGAUAAUACAAAUAGUGAGUAUAUGAUAAGUAGGAAUACGAGAAGUAAAGAUGCGACAAGUGAAAACACAAAAGAUAGUAAUACGAUUGGCGAUAAUACGAAAGGUGGAAAUAGAAGAGGAGAAAAUAGAAGAGGAGGAAAUAGAAGAGGAGGGAAUAGAAGAGGAGGAAAUAGAAGAGGAGGAAAUAGAAGAGGAGGAAGUAUAAGAGAUAGUGUAACAGUAGUUGAUAAUGUGAUAGGUGGUAAUACAAAAGAUAGUAAUGCGAAAAAUGAUAAACCAUAUGAAAUACAAGUAGAAGAUACUGCAAAAUGUCAAAGUACAUUUGUAACUGAACAUUCCAAUGUAACAACACAAGACCAAACUUCUGAUAAAGAAUUAAUAAACAAUGACCAAAAAACAGCAGAAAACAAAAAAGAAACAAAUAGUAGUUUAUCAAAUACACAUACAAAAAGAAAAUACAGAAUCCGUUUGUACAAUAUAAAAACUCAAAAUGAAAAAGUCAUCCCUAGUGAACAUUCUAACUUAGAAGUUACAAAUAUAUAU